UACGUAGGGGGCAAGCGUUGUCCGGAAUCACUGGGCGUAAAGGGCGCGUAGGCGGAUCUUUAAGUCGGGGGUGAAAGCCUGUGGCUCAACCACAGAAUUGCCUUCGAUACUGGGGAUCUCGAGUCCGGGAGAGGUGAGUGGAAUUGCGAGUGUAGAGGUGAAAUUCGUAGAUAUUCGCAAGAACACCAGUGGCGAAGGCGGCUCACUGGCCCGGAACUGACGCUGAGGUGCGAAAGCGUGGGGAGCAAACAGG
rnacentral:rRNA from 1 species